rnacentral:rRNA from 1 species
GAUGAACGCUGGCGGCGUGCCUAAUACAUGCAAGUCGAGCGAAUGGAUUAAGAGCUUGCUCUUAUGAAGUUAGCGGCGGACGGGUGAGUAACACGUGGGUAACCUGCCCAUAAGACUGGGAUAACUCCGGGAAACCGGGGCUAAUACCGGAUAACAUUUUGAACCGCAUGGUUCGAAAUUGAAAGGCGGCUUCGGCUGUCACUUAUGGAUGGAACCGCGUCGCAUUAGCUAGUUGGUGAGGUAACGGCUCACCAAGGCAACGAUGCGUAGCCGACCUGAGAGGGUGAUCGGCCACACUGGGACUGAGACACGGCCCAGACUCCUAUGGGAGGCAGCAGUAGGGAAUCUUCCGCAAUGGACGAAAGUCUGACGGAGCAACGCCGCGUGAGUGAUGAAGGCUUUCGGGUCGUAAAACUCUGUUGUUAGGGAAGAACAAGUGCUAGUUGAAUAAGCUGGCACCUUGACGGUACCUAACCAGAAAGCCACGGCUAACUACGUGCCAGCAGCCGCCGUAA